rnacentral:lncRNA from 1 species
ACACAGAUAAUUGUGUGCUUUUGACAAUCAAUGCUACCUGGACCCGGGUCACAAGGACUCCGCACCCAGCUGGACCAUGCCACGUGGACACCACACAGCAGAGGUGCCAGGGGGAACAUAAAGGCCAUGGUUAUGAGCCCCAGAAGAUAGAGCAGAAGUAAACAACAGAGAGGGCCUUUCUGACUCUCCUCAAUGAAAAUUGAAGCCCACUGGGAAAAUGAAGAAAAACUCUUCAAUAAAAGCUCACUGGACCUUCGUGAUUGGGGACAAAACUGAGGACAAAAGCCAACAUACUGAAGAUACCCAUCCCUCAAACAUUGAUGCUUCAAAGAGAGAGUGAACCUCAUGCUCAAUACCAUCAGUGAACCACUAAAUUACAG